UUGGGAAUAUUGGACAAUGGGAGCAAUCCUGAUCCAGCAAUCCCGCGUGAGUGAUGAAGGCCUUCGGGUCGUAAAGCUCUUUUAGGAGGGACGAAGGGAAACUUGACGGUACCUCCAGAAAAAGCACCGGCUAACUCUGUGCCAGCAGCCGCGGUAAUACAGAGGGUGCAAGCGUUGCUCGGAAUCAUUGGGCGUAAAGCGCGUGUAGGCGGUCUUCUAAGUCUGGUGUGAAAGCCCAGGGCUUAACCCUGGAAGUGCACUGGAUACUGGAAGACUAGAGGGUAAGAGGGGACAUUGGAAUUCCUGGUGUAGGGGUGAAAUCCGUAGAUAUCAGGAGGAACAUCGGUGGCGAAGGCGAAUGUCUGGCUUAUUUCUGACGCUGAGACGCGAAAGCGUGGGGAGCAAACAGG
rnacentral:rRNA from 1 species